rnacentral:rRNA from 1 species
UGGGGAAUAUUGGACAAUGGGCGCAAGCCUGAUCCAGCAAUGCCGCGUGUGUGAAGAAGGCCUUAGGGUUGUAAAGCACUUUCAAUUGUGAAGAAGGGUAUUAUAUUAAUACUGUAGUAUCUUGACGUUAACUUUAGAAGAAGCACCGGCUAACUCUGUGCCAGCAGCCGCGGUAAUACAGAGGGUGCAAGCGUUAAUCGGAAUUACUGGGCGUAAAGCGCGCGUAGGCGGUUAGAUAAGUAAGAUGUGAAAUCCCCGGGCUCAACCUGGGAACUGCAUCUUAAACUGUCUAACUAGAGUUUAGGAGAGGGAAGUAGAAUUUCAGGUGUAGCGGUGAAAUGCAUAGAGAUCUGAAGGAAUACCAGUGGCGAAGGCGACUUCCUGGCCUAGAACUGACGCUGAGGUGCGAAAGCGUGGGUAGCAAACG